rnacentral:rRNA from 1 species
UCUUGUAUUUUCUUUACUUUGCAUGUCUGAGUGUGGAAUCAUACAAAAUGAAUCAAAACUUUCAACAACGGAUCUCUUGGUUCUGGCAUCGAUGAAGAACGCAGCGAAAUGCGA